rnacentral:rRNA from 1 species
UGGUCCUACGGGGGGCAGCAGUGAGGAAUAUUGGUCAAUGGGCGGGAGCCUGAACCAGCCAAGUCGCGUGAAGGAAGAAGGUACUUAGUAUUGUAAACUUCUUUUGUCGGAGAACAAAACCCGGGACGUGUCCCGGACUGCGUGUAUCCGAAGAAAAAGCAUCGGCUAACUCCGUGCCAGCAGCCGCGGUAAUACGGAGGAUGCGAGCGUUAUCCGGAUUUAUUGGGUUUAAAGGGUGCGUAGGCGGUCCGUUAAGUCAGCGGUAAAAUUGCGGGGCUCAACCCCGUCGAGCCGUUGAAACUGGC